rnacentral:rRNA from 1 species
UAAAGCAAGAAAGGGCGUAUGGGGAAUGCCUAGGCACACUCCGGCGAAGAAGGACGCAGCAAACAGCGAAAUGCGACGGUGAGCGGUAAGCACGUGAAGAGCCGUCGAUAUCCGAAUGGGGGAACCCACACGGAGUCAUAUCCGUGUAUCACAUGUCGAAUACAUAGACAUGAUGAGGCGAGACGCAGGGAACUGAAACAUCUAAGUACCUGCAGGAAGAGAAAAUAAGAAUGAUUUUCUGAGUAGCGGCGAGCGAAAGGGAAAGAGCCCAAACCGAUUUUAGGAUCGGGGUAGUAGGAUCAUCGAGGAAUCUGACAGAGGAUCAUAGAGGAAUCACAUGGGAAGGUGAGCGAGAGAGGGUGAGAGCCCCGUACUCGAAAUGAGAGACUGGAGAGAGAUGACACCUGAGUAGGGCGGGACACGAGAAAUCCUGUCUGAAUCAGCCGGGACCAUCCGGCAAGGCUAAAUACGAGAGAGUGACCGAUAGUGAACCAGUACCGUGAGGGAAAGGUGAAAAGAACCCCGGGAGGGGAGUGAAAGAGAACCUGAAACCAUAUGCCUACAAGAAGUCAGAGCCCGUUAAAGGGUGAUGGCGUGCCUUUUGUAGAAUGAACCGGCGAGUUACUGUAUGGAGCGAGGUUAAGCAGGAUAUGCGGAGCCGAAGCGAAAGCGAGUCUUAAGAGGGCGCGAGUUGCAUGCAGUAGACCCGAAACCGGGUGAUCUAGCCAUGACCAGGUUGAAGUUGGGGUAAAACCCGAUGGAGGACCGAACCGACCCCCGUUGAAACGUUGGCGGAUGAGUUGUGGCUAGGGGUGAAAUUCCAAUCGAACCCGGAGAUAGCUGGUUCUCCCCGAAAUAGCUUUAGGGCUAGCGUCGAGAGAAGAGUUGCGUGAAGGUAGAGCACUGAAUAUGUGAUGGCCCCAUCUCGGGGUACUGAGCAUAAUCAAACUGCGAAUGUCACGCCAACAUGCUCGGCAGUCAGACAGCGGGUGAUAAGGUCCGUUGUCAAGAGGGAAACAGCCCAGACCAUCAGCUAAGGUCCCAAAAUGUAUGCUAAGUGGAAAAGGAUGUGGAGAUGUACAGACAACUAGGAGGUUGGCUCAGAAGCAGCCAUCCUUUAAAGAGUGCGUAACAGCUCACUAGUCGAAUGACUCUGCGCCGAUAAUUUACCGGGGCUAAGCAUACUACCGAAGCUAUGGAUCCCAAGGGAUGGUAGGGGAGCGUUCCAUGAACGGAGAAGUACGACCGAAAGGACGUGUGGAGAUCAUGGAAGAGAGAAUGCCGGUGUGAGUAGCGGAACGUGGGUGAGAAUCCCACGCACCGAAAACCCAAGGUUUCCAGAGGAAGGUUCGUCCGCUCUGGGUAAGUCGGGACCUAAGGCGAGGCCGAAAGGCGUAGUCGAUGGACAACAGGUAGAGAUUCCUGUACCCGUAUAUAUGUGAAGGAAUGACGGAGAGAGGAAGCUGCAGCCAGCGGCUGGAAGAGCUGGUGCAAGCGAGAUAUCGGGAUGGCAGGCAAAUCCACCAUCCGAAACGAGAAGGCGUGAAGCGUACGGAAAGCUACGGCGAGUACGGAAGGCAGUGGAGGAACUUCCAAGAAAAGUUUCUAACGUUAAGUAUAUAUGGCCCGUACCGAAAAUGGACACACAUGGGUGAGGAGAGAAUCCUAAGGUGAGCGAGAGAACUAUAGCUAAGGAACUCUGCAAAAUGACUCCGUAACUUAGGGAGAAGGAGUGCUCAUAGAGAUAUGAGCCGCAGUGAAACGGCCCAAGCGACUGUUUACCAAAAACACAGCUCUCUGCUAAGCCGCAAGGCGAAGUAUAGGGGGUGACGCCUGCCCGGUGCUGGAAGGUUAAGGGGAGGGGUUAACGCAAGUGAAGCCCUGAACUGAAGCCCCAGUAAACGGCGGCCGUAACUAUAACGGUCCUAAGGUAGCGAAAUUCCUUGUCAGGUAAGUUCUGACCCGCACGAAAGGCGUAACGAUUUGGGCGCUGUCUCAGCUGUAGACUCGGUGAAGUCUUAGUACCUGUGAAGAUGCAGGUUACCCGCGACUAGACGGAAAGACCCCAUGGAGCUUCACUGCAGGUUGAUAUUGGGAUUUGAUGCAGCAUGUACAGGAUAGGUAGGAGGCAAAGAGAUGGAUACGCCAGUAUUCAAGGAGCCGCUGUUGGGAUACUACCCCUGUUGUAUUGGAUUUCUAACCGGACGACGUAGAGCCGUUGACGGGACAGUGUCAGUCGGGCAGUUUGACUGGGGCGGUCGCCUCCCAAAGAGUAACGGAGGCGCCCAAAG